UGGGGAAUAUUGGACAAUGGGCGCAAGCCUGAUCCAGCCAUGCCGCGUGAACGAUGAAGGCCUUAGGGUUGUAAAGUUCUUUUGUCAGGGAAGAUAAUGACGGUACCUGAAGAAUAAGCACCGGCUAACUUCGUGCCAGCAGCCGCGGUAAUACGAAGGGUGCUAGCGUUGUUCGGAAUCACUGGGCGUAAAGCGCGCGUAGGCGGCGAUAUAAGUCAGAGGUGAAAGCCUGGAGCUCAACUCCAGAACUGCCUUUGAAACUAUAUUGCUAGAGUGUCGGAGGGGAUAGCGGAAUUGCUAAUGUAGAGGUGAAAUUCGUAGAUAUUAGAAGGAACACCGGUGGCGAAGGCGGCUAUCUGGACGACAACUGACGCUGAGGCGCGAAAGCGUGGGGAUCAAACAGGAUUAGAUACCCUCGUAGUCCCUGAGCGGGCUGGCAAGGCG
rnacentral:rRNA from 1 species